UGAGUGUCAGCGGCAGUGCAGAUGAGCUCACCCGGGGACCAGAGCCAUUUAGAGGAUUUGCAGAUGGAACUUCCCCUCGGGGUCCAACUGUGAGUCACUGUGGUUCCUGUCCCUGCAGCGGGCUCCAUCUCCAGGCCUCCCACUUCACCCUGGGACAUUAUGGUCGCUGGUCAGACCUCAUGACUCACUUGGACUCUUGAGCCACCUCUGGGGGUGGAGUCUCUCUCCUGGCAUCUGGACCCUUGGUGCUAUCGACGAAGCUUGGCUGGCGCUCUUAGCUGCUAUGUGCAAGACGUGUGUCCCAGGGAAAGCCCCUCUCUCUCUGCAGAGGUCAAGUGAAAGCCACGGCCGCAGCCAACAGAGUUCAAAAUGCAGGCUUGGAAAGUCCAGGGGGCUCUGUGGAGGUGCCACCUCCUGAGUCCUGGUUCCUGCGGCUCCGUCGAAUCUGCAGUGAAGGCCUUUGGGAAGCGUGGGUUAUGUGGGUCCAGGGGUCCCAUCCUCCCGUGGAGGCCCUUGACCUGAGGAUCACUAACUCACACCCCACCGACUUCCGGCCCCCAACAAGGGCAGUGUUCCUCUUGCUCCAUUCUGCUCUGAAGUCCCCCAAACCGCUUCCUGGGGCUGCUUAGUGAAAUACAAGGCUCAUCUCUGAGGACCUCUACAGGGCUGGUGAGUUGAGCCAGGAGUUCAA
ensembl:lncRNA LINC00511 long intergenic non-protein coding RNA 511